UGCUGGUGUUUUACUAAAACGUGAGCCACUCCAUCCCAUUUCGAACUGGAAAGUGAAAGCGUUUUAGCCCGAUGAUACUUUUUGCUUCGGCAAAUGGGAAAGUAGGGUAUGCCGGCAU
rnacentral:rRNA from 1 species